GAUGAACGCUGGCGGCGUGCCUAAUACAUGCAAGUCGAGCGAACGGACGAGAAGCUUGCUUCUCUGAUGUUAGCGGCGGACGGGUGAGUAACACGUGGAUAACCUACCUAUAAGACUGGGAUAACUUCGGGAAACCGGAGCUAAUACCGGAUAAUAUUUUGAACCGCAUGGUUCAAAAGUGAAAGACGGUCUUGCUGUCACUUAUAGAUGGAUCCGCGCUGCAUUAGCUAGUUGGUAAGGUAACGGCUUACCAAGGCAACGAUGCAUAGCCGACCUGAGAGGGUGAUCGGCCACACUGGAACUGAGACACGGUCCAGACUCCUACGGGAGGCAGCAGUAGGGAAUCUUCCGCAAUGGGCGAAAGCCUGACGGAGCAACGCCGCGUGAGUGAUGAAGGUCUUCGGAUCGUAAAACUCUGUUAUUAGGGAAGAACAUAUGUGUAAGUAACUGUGCACAUCUUGACGGUACCUAAUCAGAAAGCCACGGCUAACUACGUGCCAGCAGCCGCGGUAAUACGUAGGUGGCAAGCGUUAUCCGGAAUUAUUGGGCGUAAAGCGCGCGUAGCGGUUUUUUAAGUCUGAUGUGAAAGCCCACGGCUCAACCGUGGAGGGUCAUUGGAAACUGGAAAACUUGAGUGCAGAAGAGGAAAGUGGAAUUCCAUGCGUAGCGGUGAAAUGCGCAGAGAUAUGGAGGAACACCAGUGGCGAAGGCGACUUUCUGGUCUGUAACUGACGCUGAUGUGCGAAAGCGUGGGGAUCAAACAGGAUUAGAUACCCUGGUAGUCCACGCCGUAAACGAUGAGUGCUAAGUGUUAGGGGGUUUCCGCCCCUUAGUGCUGCAGCUAACGCAUUAAGCACUCCGCCUGGGGAGUACGACCGCAAGGUUGAAACUCAAAGGAAUUGACGGGGACCCGCACAAGCGGUGGAGCAUGUGGUUUAAUUCGAAGCAACGCGAAGAACCUUACCAAAUCUUGACAUCCUUUGACAACUCUAGAGAUAGAGCCUUCCCCUUCGGGGGACAAAGUGACAGGUGGUGCAUGGUUGUCGUCAGCUCGUGUCGUGAGAUGUUGGGUUAAGUCCCGCAACGAGCGCAACCCUUAAGCUUAGUUGCCAUCAUUAAGUUGGGCACUCUAAGUUGACUGCCGGUGACAAACCGGAGGAAGGUGGGGAUGACGUCAAAUCAUCAUGCCCCUUAUGAUUUGGGCUACACACGUGCUACAAUGGACAAUACAAAGGGCAGCGAAACCGCGAGGUCAAGCAAAUCCCAUAAAGUUGUUCUCAGUUCGGAUUGUAGUCUGCAACUCGACUACAUGAAGCUGGAAUCGCUAGUAAUCGUAGAUCAGCAUGCUACGGUGAAUACUUUCCCGGG
rnacentral:rRNA from 1 species